GGGCUUGUAACUUGAGUCCGGGCCUUUUUUCUGCUGAAACUGUUCCAUAGCUUGGGCUGUAAUUUGGACUAACAGAUGGGCUUGUAACUUGAGUUUGGGCCUUAGGCUUAGUUGGGCCCGGGCAAUAAUUGGGUAUUACAAUACCUAUGGAUGAAAGUCAGGUGAGCAGCAAAAUGUUUUUCUAUAUACUUUCAUUUGAAAAGGGGCAUGGGGCUGAACAGGACUGAAAAUUUUCACUUUCAAGUCGAAUGAGCUUAAUUCCAAUUUCCUGUCUCAGGAGGAUAAUAAAAUAGUGCGACAAGAUCUGAACGAAAGCACAUUGGAUUUGAGCUUCGGUUAAACGGUUCGUGACUGUGAGUCUGAUUCGAAAACAAAUCGCAACGGACAGUUGGAAAGAGUAAAAUUGAGUAGUGGUCGAACAUGAUUGAGUAUAGCUUUGCAGGCUGUUUCAGCAAAUAGAUGCAGAUGGUAAGUAGACAUUAUUAUUAGUCUCCUCAUUUAUGGCAUAUUCCAUCAUCUAGGGUUUUAUAAACGGCGGGAUCGGCCACUCUCUUUCCCUCUUUUGUCAUCGGUUUAAUCCUUCCGAUAUUUGCGUGUAUUACAUUCGCAUGUGAAAAAUCAAGUGCUUAAUUACUAUUUUCUUCGUUUAACCGGUGAUAGAUUGAAUUUAAUGCUACAUGUACCAAGAUAAGGGGGUUGAUUCAAAUCAGUAUCCUUAAUCUUGAUUUUGCCAUAGCGGCUGUAGCUAUAAUAGAGAAGUUAACUGGCCGGUUAUCGUGCUUAAUUUGAAAAUUUCAAGCUUCCGUCGGUUAAUCUGCUUACCGAGCUUCGUACAUUUCAUUUCAUGUUAUUGGUUUUUUUUUUUUGGUAAAUUUUGAGAAGGGGGGAGAAGAAGGGAAUAGCAUAGGAUUUAGCUAUUUCAAGAGACCCUUCUCUAACAUCAAAAAUUAGGUCACCUUCCAGGCUUUCUGCUUUGCUUCUCUGCAGUUUGCGUCUAUCGGUGCCUACAUUCAUUCCAUUUCUAAGAACAAAAAAUUGUAUUUUACUUUCGAUUUUAGUAUUUGCAAGUCUUCAAUCCAUUUCCAGUCCCAGCUAUCUGUUCGUUUAAUUGGGCCUUUUCAAUUUCAUUUGAAUUUAAAAAUAAAUUAAAUCGUUAUAAUUUGAUUCGAAAAUUUCGAAUCUUAAUUCAAAAUGGCUUGAAAGUUUAGAUUCACUUGAAUCAAAGCCUUUAAAUUUUAAAAGCAAAAUUGAUUGAAAAUCAUCUAACUCAAAAAUCAAUCUAAACCGUUUAAUCAAAGUUUACAUAAAUUAAACAGUAACGAGUGGAUUUAAAUGGGCAAAAUAUAAAAAAAAAAGUCAGUUUUUUUCUUAAAUUUAUCGAAAUGAGCCUUCGCGUCCACAUCAGCAAAUCGUGUCCACAUCAGUGCGCUUUCCUGACGUGGACACAUAUCGCGUCCACGUAAAAUGGAUUUGUUUCCAAUUUGAUACCUGAAUCUUUUUUAUCCUAAUUUCAGUACUUAAAUUUGUCCUCAAUGUUCAAUUCAAUACAUGAGCUUUUUGCCUGAUGAAUAUGUGAUAUGUGUGCUCUAGUAAAAAACAUAAGACUUUAAUUGAGAUAAAAAAAAACUCAAGUUAAUAUUAAAUUGAAUAUUAGAGUCAUACUCAUGUACCAAAUUGGAGAAAAAACCCACGUACCAAAUUGAAUAUUAAUACCAAUCUCAGAUACCAAACACUAAACUGAUUUUUUUUUUUAUUUUUUUUUUGUAAAAUUGACCUAGAUUGUCAUUAAAAUAGAUUAAAAUUUUAGAUUCGAGUCUCAUCAAAUAUUAUAAAUCAUGUGUGAAUUUUUUUCAGUACAUUUUUAGUGUUUCUUACAAGGUUUUAGUGAAAAUUUAAGUUCAAUUAGUGAUUGAGUAAAAAAUUAUGAAGUAUUCGUGUUAAUAAUCAACUCUUUUGAAAGAAAUAUUUGAAAUGUUGUGCCAUCGAAAUUGACGAACCCUUUAGCAAAUCAAUAUUGUUCCUCUUUUAAAGUUUUUUCUCUUGGCUCAAACAAAAAUCCAAGUUCCUAAGGUUGCUUGAAAAGGUAAUAGAUUCAACAAAGUGGAAUCAUCUCUUAUNNNNNNNNNNNNNNNNNNNNNNNNNNNNNNNNNNNNNNNNNNNNNNNNNNNNNNNNNNNNNNNNNNNNNNNNNNNNNNNNNNNNNNNNNNNNNNNNNNNNAUAUUUGCACUUAGUAUGCACUUGUAGGCAACCAUUCUACCACUUGGUCCUUGGUAAGUAGUUUUACACCAUGCACAAUUUGGCCAAAUGAGGUGUUCCCACAUUGUUAAAUCGAUUGCCUCUUCCGACAACUUCAAGUACUAUGACUCUAUACAGAAUCGGGAGACAAAAUCUAGAUCGAAUACAAUACCAUCUCGUUAAAGCAUCAAUUGAUUCCUAAUGAAUAACAUUUAUAAAAAAUUCUCCACUCAACAAAUUUAUUUAAUAUAAUAUUAAAUUUGGCAUAAACCUAAACCUUAAGCAUUUUUACUCAAAAUAAAAUUUAUUAUUAAUUAAAAUGGCUCGUGACUGAUCAAAUAUUAAUAAAAAAAUUCAAUCCACAGGCAACAUUUGUAGUUUUUAUCAAUUUAUUAUGUAUAAGAAAAAUGAAUUAAACAAUUGAAAUGGAUCAUUAGUAAAAUUACCAAACAAAAGAGCCAAUGGCCCAUCUAAUUUGAAACUCGGAGCUACCAGAACCGAAUCCGACCCGAACUUUAUAAGCAUAAAAUCACAAAAGAAAUUAAUCCACUUGUCUCCUCGGCGAAGGAAAAAAACAACAGAAAAAAAAGAAAAAGAAAAAAAGAGAGAGAGAUCUAAAGGGAGAGAGAGAAACAUAGAGCGAGUCACAGCGAAAUCGUCACCGAUCCAACGCGAACGAGUUAAAUGGAAGGAGUGGGGGCUCGACUCGGGCGGUCCUCCACUCGGUACGGACCAGCCACUGUGUUCACUGGACCGGUCAGGAAAUGGAAGAAGAAAUGGGUCCACGUUUCCCCUUCUAACACCGGCAACAGCUCCAACAAUAACAACAAUAAUCACUCUCAUAAUAAUCAUCAGACCACAAUCAACGGUACUUCUAACGGUAAUAACGGUUCCCAUCUCCUCCUUUUUAAAUGGACACCUUUAUCCCAAACCCAAACCAACAACAACGAUAAUGACAAUUCCUCUAAGGACGACGCCGUCGCGGCGCCCGAAGAGCCGCCAAGACGGAAGUUUAAAUACAUUCCGGUAAAUUCUCUUCCUUGGGUUUUCAUCAAUUUCGAAUUUUGGGUCGUCUUUUUUAAGUUAUUUUUUCCUUAUCUGUAUAUGCUUAUUUUGCUUUGUUUCUUGGUGGGAUUUUUUUGGCUGCGAAUUGGGAUUUGAUUUUGCGUGCAUUUUAUGUAAUUGCUUGAUUUGUUAUGGGUUUUGGUUGGAUUGAUCAAUGACUGAAAUUUUAUUAGAUGAAUGUUUCUCACAUAAAUUGUGCUUCGUAAUAUUUUUUCAUGGCCUUGAUGCACUUGGAAUCUUUAUUUAUGCUUCACUUUUGUCAAAUUUAUAGUUAGUGAAAAUGUGUUUCUAGAACAAUAGCUUGCUUAUCAACAAAUUUUGAAUUGCAUAUGCGUGAGGGUACAAAAUUGAGCUGCUUGCCAUCCUCAUACUCGUAGAUCAAAUCCGGGUUCUGGAGAGCUUUUGAAACCAAUGAUAUAAUGAUAGUGAAACUGUUGGAUCGGAGAUUGAAAGGGAAGAGGACCGAGAUUAGUACCUCGUUUCUUUUCUCUGACUAAUCGAACUCUAACGAUACCCUAUGCAGUUGCUUUAAGUUGAACACGGUUGUCGUAAUACUUGGUAAAAGUACCAUGAAGGCCAUUGAACUAGGAGUCGGAUUGCAUUUUUCCCCCUUUACUAAAAAAUUGGGUGAACUAGUCCUUGUACAUUAGAUAAAAAAUCAAACUAGUCAUUCUAUUAAAAGUUUGACCAUUUCUAUUGUUAAAAACUAAUCACUGUAUGUGUAACUGUCUGGUUAAUUCCAUCAGUCACUGUCUAGACUAGUUUGCCCCGUUUUUUAGUGAAGGGGGCAAAAUGUAAUCUGACUCCUAGUACAAGGCCUCCAUGAUAUUUUUACCGUAAUGCUUGGACCUAUCUGAUCUAAUCUAGUAUGUGAAAUCAUAGUAGCAUGAUGUAUGGCUAUAAUCAUAUUGCUUGCAUUGGCAUGAAACAUAAUGUUUCUACUUUUGAUCAUAUCAAACACUGAUAGUGGGUGCUUUUGUCUGGUAAUUGUAAUUCCCUUUUUAAGUUUUUGAUUGGAUAAUCUGAAUAUGCUAACAUUCACAGGUUUGUGAAGCUGCUUAGUUGUAACAAUUGUUGGUAGAAAUGAGUCCUAAGAUCAGUUCAAACUGUUCGAUCAUCUUAUUAUUUUGAUUGCUUGAACAUGCAGAUUGCUGUGCUAGAGGAACAGAGAAAGGAAGCUGAUGAAAACACCGAUGAUGAAUCUAAACUGAGCGAAGCUGACCCUAGUGCUGUAGAGCCAACUUCCAGGAAUGAUGGUCUUGAUGAAAAACCCGACAUUAAUGACAUACCUAUGGAUGAAAGUCAGGUGAGCAGCAAAAUGUUUUUCUAUAUACUUUCAUUUGAAAAGGGG
rnacentral:lncRNA from 1 species